UCCUCGUUAGUAUAGUGGUCAGUAUCCCCGCCUGUCACGCGGGAGAGACUGGGGUUCAAUUCCCCGACGGGGAGA
rnacentral:tRNA from 1 species